rnacentral:rRNA from 1 species
UGCGUAGGCUGUGGGGUAAGUCUGGUGUGAAAUCCCGGAGCUCAGCUCCGGAACUGCACUGGAUACUGCUUUACUAGAGCACUGGAGAGGGAACUGGAAUUUACGGUGUAGCAGUGAAAUGCGUAGAUAUCGUAAGGAAGACCAGUGGCGAAGGCGAGUUCCUGGACAGUUGCUGACGCUGAGGCACGAAGGCCAGGGGAGCAAACG